rnacentral:rRNA from 1 species
CAGUAGCCGCGGUAAUGCGUAGGUGGCAAGCGUUGUCCGGAAUUAUUGGGCGUAAAGGGUACGUAGGCGGCCUUUUAAGCGUAGGGUAUAAGGCAAUGGCUCAACCAUUGUUCGCCCUAUGAACUGGAAGGCUUGAGUGCAGGAGAGGAAAGCGGAAUUCCUAGUGCAGCGGUGGAAUGCAUAGAUAUUAGGAGGAACAUCAGCGGCGAAGGCGGCUUUCUGGACUGCAACUGACACUGAGGUACGAAAGCGUGGGGAGCAAACAGGAUUAGAUACCCCUGUAGUCCCUGUCUCUUAUACA